GAUGAACGUUGGCGGCGUGCCUAACACAUGCAAGUCGAACGCUAGUAGCAAGUAUUAGAGUGGCGCACGGGUGAGUAACACGUAGCUUAUCUACCUCCCAGCGCGGGAUAACGGUUCGAAAGAACUGCUAAUACCGCAUAAGCUCACGAGCUAUAGAGGCUGGUGAGAAAAGGCUUAGGUCACUGGGAGCGGGGGCUGCGGCCCAUCAGCUAGUUGGUGAGGUAACGGCUUACCAAGGCGACGACGGGUAGGGGACCUGAGAGGGUGACCCCCNCA
rnacentral:rRNA from 1 species